rnacentral:tRNA from 1 species
AUCAUCAAUAAGAUAUUUAAUCUGGAGGUUUGUGGAACCUUCAAUACCCACGUGGUUUAAUGAUC